UUUUUCCAACUGACAGAUGCUAGUGGUGUGGUUUUCUUUUGGUGUUUUUUUUAUCUUUUUUUUUUUCUUUUCCUUUUUUUGGUUGGUUGUUUUUUUUUUUUAGUUGUCUGAAAUAAGUUUUGACUUCAGCAGGGCCUCACGUGCACUGGUUGCUGCAGCUGUGUCCUGAUACCUUUUUUCUCUAACCUAAACCCAGGUCCCGGUCGAGAUCCCGUUCACGGUCCCGAGGUCGAAGGUAUUCUCGCUCACGCAGUCGGAGUCGUGGUAGGAGAUCAAGGUCAGCUUCCUACCGCAGGUCCAGGUCAAUCUCUCCUCGUAGGUAUAGGUCAUUUUCACCCCGCAGAUCUCGGUCUGGUUCUUUAAGGAGGUCAAGAUCUAGGUCCAGAUCACGCUCGAGGUCCCGGUCUGUUGUAUGGCCACGAAGCAGGUCUGGGUCCCAUGGUAGAUCUAAAUCUGGCUUACCUGCUAAAAGUCGUUCAAAGUCCAGAUCACCAUCUCCAAAGAGAAGUCAUUCACCAUCAGGAAGCCCUUGAAGGAGUGGAAGUCAUGAAAGAAUGGAUUUGAAUUAAAAAAGUUUAAGAAGAAAAUUUAUUUUGUUUACAUUAUUAUAAGGGAUUUUGUGGUGUCUUUAUAAAUGUAAGGGCUUAGUCCUAGGAAGCUGUUUCUAUUGACUAACAAUUGGCAUGAACCUGGAUCUUUUAAAAGUCCUAGUAGUAGACUAACGCAAAACUCCUUUGUUGUGUUAAUGUUCUGUGAUCUGGAAACAUUGGGCUUUUUUUAUUGGUGCAUUGAAAUAAACUGCAUUUCUAACGAAGAAGU